rnacentral:rRNA from 1 species
AACGAACGCUGGCGGCAGGCUUAACACAUGCAAGUCGAGCGCAUCCUUCGGGGUGAGCGGCGGACGGGUGAGUAACGCGUGGGAACGUGCCCUCUUCCACGGAAUAGCCUCGGGAAACUGAGAGUAAUGCCGUAUACGCCCGCAAGGGGAAAGAUUUAUCGGAGGAGGAUCGGCCCGCGUUGGAUUAGGUAGUUGGUGGGGUAACGGCCUACCAAGCCGACGAUCCAUAGCUGGUUUGAGAGGAUGAUCAGCCACACUGGGACUGAGACACGGCCCAGACUCCUACGGGAGGCAGCAGUGGGGAAUCUUGGACAAUGGGGGCAACCCUGAUCCAGCCAUGCCGCGUGAUCGAUGAAGGCCUUAGGGUUGUAAAGAUCUUUCAGCUGGGAAGAUAAUGACGGUACCAGCAGAAGAAGCCCCGGCUAACUCCGUG